CCCUCAAGAAGAGCCUGUCACUGACUAAGCCUUACAACAUUCCUGAAGCCAUGAGUACAACUUUUAUUCACAUCUGGCAUUUCAGGGAUAAGCACUGUCUCUCUGUUGUGACCUGCAAUAACCCCUCCGUCGGGCUCGCCACUGGAAUUCCAGCUGCACUGGAAUGUGGCGGCUUCUCCUCGGGGAGUGAUGCAGCAGUGAUGAUUAAGAUAUUAAAAUGAAUUUUCAUUUGCAACUAACUCAGGAUUUGGGAACAGGUUUUCCAGAAUACACACCUUCAUUCAGCGUGCAAAAUCUGCUACACUGUUUAUUUACACUUCCAAGAGUGCUUCCUCCCCCAGUUACAAAAAAAGAGCCUUACGUCUGGGAAUCUCACUGUUUGAAGCAUAGACACAGAAGACAAGGUGGCUUGGCAGAUGCUUGGGAAGUUGUUAAAUUAGGAAGGUUUUUGAAAUCUAGGAAAAAUAAUAACUGAUUUUUUUUUCUUUUUUAAUUUUCAACAGAUGUAUUUAUUGAGAAAUAAUUGCUCUUUUAUUUGUAGUGAGAUUUAAAGGUCAGGAAAACUGUUUCCUUUUUAAAUAGAAUAGAGGCGCUUGAAUACUACUAAUGCUAUAACCUACAGUUAUCCAAUUACACGUUUCAUUGAGAGAUUGGCAGGAAUCCAGGUGCAGUAGUUAGAAUAAAAGGCUCCCUGUCGUUUAAGUCUAUGUGAAAUAGUUCACUGCGUGCAAUUGAAUCUGCAGUACCUUAUCUAUUAUGCUUUAAAAAACCCCAGCAAACUGGAAUACUCACAAGUGUGUAUGAAUUUCUAGAAUGCUAAAGCGCAUGAACAAUUUUGAUUUAUAGGCAGGUAUUCUGUAUUUAGAACUUUUUUUUUUUCCACUUAAAAAUUUGCUCUCUUCUUGUGGAAAUACUGUUCUAUGGCAUUAUUUUCCUAUUGUUUGCUUUGUGUAUUUGGUAUGCAUAGUUUUGGUGGGAAGGGUAUUGCCAGAGGCAUUCUACCCUAAUUUUACAAUAACACUGAAAUGGUCUCUCCAUACGCAUUUUGUGAGUGGAGUCAUCAAGGGAGACUGACACAGCAUCUAGACAGCACUGAGUUUAGCUCUUGUAUGUGUUGCCUAGGCUAGCAGUUCUUGAAUUUGAAAGGAGUUGAAAAAGUAAGGACAAAUGAUGGCUGGGUUUCCUGGGAUUUGUGUAAAUUUGAAAAGCCAAGUUUUUCUGUGAUACUUGCCUAAUUUUAUGGAUUUCCUAUGGAAGAUUUUAUCUUCAAGGCUUUUGCUUGCCUAACACUUUUCUCUAAUGAGUUCUCUUCCUCUUGUCAUAACUCCGCUUAAAUAUUCAUACACCUUUGUGCACCUGUUCUUUCUCUCUUGGAAAAGAUGAGACAUAAGAGCUAGAACUCUCCUUGUGAGUAUAUUAAGAUGCUCUCUUCUAUAAUCUUAGCAAUCCUUUCCAAAAUGAAUUUAUGUUGAAAAUCAGCUAAUUGGCAUACUAUGGACUUCACUACAAAAUCAUGGCAGUAUCAGUAAAAAGUGCACUGUUGUCAUUAAGAUGCAGAUCUUGCUACGGUUAUCUCAGUCUUUAUCUCCAUAGGUUAUCAAUAUCUUCAGGUUAAACUACUACACCUCCUGAACAUAGGUUUGAUGCAGAUGACCAGUUGAAAACUUAAGGUACUGUAUUUGCAUGGGCUCUGAGAAGACUGUGCUAUGGUAAGAAAACGUUGCACUCUCUGCAAUAGCAUUAAACUCAAAGAUUAUUUAUGCAAAAAGGUUGGCCGAGUAUCCAAUAACGCUAGAAGUGGCAUGCAUUAGUUGGUAUGCUUACGUGUCCCACCGAUGAGUCUCCAGGGAACAGCAUAUUUCCCACAGGCUUCACCUACGGAGUAUUUGCCCUGUGAAGUGUGGCCAUUUUCCGUGCUCUUCCUGUUUAGUUUUUCUUUGACAGUUGUCUCUUUGGGCAAGCACAGGCCUAACUUACCUCAGCUAUAGCCUUUUCUUCUGUCCUACCGUGUUCACGCUCCCCAGGCAACAAGUGGGUGGACUUAACCUGUGGUUUAACACAAGGCAUAUGGCUUCCCAUUAUUAUUCUAAGGCAUGUAUCAUCCCCGAUUCAGAUAAUACACUGAUAUAAACUACACAAAUGCAUGCAAUAAAUUAGCAUGAAAGUUUGGCUUGGGCUCAGACAAGGUCAUUGGAAUGGGCUGCUAAGGCUGUCUUCCCCCACAUCAGCAGCAGUUCUUUUUUAAACUUCUGAUAAGACCUACAUAUAUCCAUAUAUAGAUAUAUCUGUUCAUAUAACUGAUUGGCUUUCUAAUUCCGGAGUAUCUCAUUCUUCCUGCAAGUACAAUAAAUAGAUUUCUCCAGGUGGGAACUUUCUUUGGUUUUUGUAGUUCUCGCUGUUCUUGGUGCUCCUGGGAGGCAAGAAGAGAGUUCGAGACCAGAACCGCAGGACGUUUGGUACAGCAGGCCUGGAUAAGAUCAGACAGGUUACACUGACAGUGCACUCCCACAAGAGACUACCACAUCUCUCUCCAGAGAAUUGAAGCAGACAAGACAUUCAGCAGCCACUCAUAUUUUGGAAGCAACAGGUCAGGAGUUCUUUGUCUUUUUUCUCCUUGUUCUCAGUGCGAUAAGAUAAAAUAUAGAGGACUGUCCUCAAAAGUUUAGUGACAGAAAAAUAGGAAAAAGAACUUCAGAGAACAGGACUCCUCAUCCUCAGGAAAAGGAGAUGUAAAGAUUAAUUUUGUAUACCUGCAGGACCCCCUAAAUAUACUUCUUGUGGGUAUCUGGCACUCCUAAUACAGCACCUGGCUUUGCUAAAGGGCUCAUGAGACAAACUGCUGCUGUAAAUAAAGACUGAGCAACUAGUCUUAACUGCUCUUAUUUUUAGCAGCAUGUUCCAGCAGUUGAUACAGUACCAUGUUGUGCUGGUUUUGGCUGAGGUAGAGUUAAUUUUCUUCACAGUAGCUGGUAUGGGG